UUUUUUGUUCAUCCUUAGUUGAUUUUUAUCAUACCAUGAUUAGUAAUUGAUAUGAGAUAGGUUGUUGCAUACGCUUGGUCUCGCUUUGUCUUCUGCUUGUUUGGAUGCUAUGUAUUUGGUUGUCUUGCAAGUACAUUCAAUGUACUGACCUGGAGUGUCAUGCCUGUUUUGUAGGUCGUACCCGAGUUGUCUGCUUGAUCCGUCGUGCUAGGCCGUAACCUUGCCAGUCCAGAGAGUUGUGGAGCCCAGCCAAAGUUGUUAUGCUGCCAAAUCAAGACUUCUGCCGCCAUUUUUAAUAGACUUCCGCUGCCAUUUAAUGGCCGUAGGGCUAUGCCAGAUGAUUGUAUUCAUGAAUGAUGUAAGCUUAUGAACAUGUAUUUGAUGAAUAUUAUUGUACCUGGAAUGUUGUAUUAUGGACCUGUCAUGCAUCAGGUGUUAUCCUCGGCUGACGUAUGAAGGCCUCCUACUCCAUGUGGAUCGGGGUGCCAUAGGGCAUGGUAUUAGAGCAGACAGGCUGGCAUAGGUUAUCCCAGUCUUAGAUCACCGCUACCAGUAAACCGUAAUUACCCUAAGGGAUUUGACUCAUCCCUGGCAUCCGGCAUGGCCACUGUUAAUCCACAGGUGGCGCAGUCGAGACCGACACGUCCUCACCCCGCUGUCCCCGCCUAGUUAUCCGUGGAGCAAGUAGCGGCCACCUCCUUUCUGGUCGGCCACACCGCUUGCCCAUCGCCAUUAACGGAAAGGGGCCACACCAUGCAGGCAUGUCUCGCAUAGCUUCCUAUAAAAGCCCCCUUUUUCGGUCACCGUAUCGCUCACUCCUCAUUCAGCCAUGUCCCUGCAGAGAAGCCUAGCUAGUAACACUCCAGUCAUGGCUAGCACCCUCAAAACUACUAAGUUCCAUAGCCGCACCAGCGCCGUCAACCAUGAGGGAUUUCCACCCCUUCUUGCUGAGAUGCUCACCCAAGCCUUUGGCUAUGAUGCUAGCCCCGACUACAUGGUGUUCCAGUCAACACCCGUUCCUCACCUUCAUUGCUAUGAUGCAAGGGUGCACAUUAGCCCCGGUCUCGCAGCAGAUGGCCAGUCGUUUGUUUUUCAGGGUGGAGCCAUGCCUACCACUGAUUUGGCCAUUUAGGCCGCUGCUGUGGAGGCGAUCCUAUACCUCCGAACCAAGUUCCCACAAGUGGCAGAUCGAAGUGAGUUCUGUUUCUUCCCCAUUGUUACAACAUCAGGAAUUCAACCAUCCCCCUCUAUCCAAGGGAAUUACCCCGCAAUCGCUCUCCUGAUGCAGUAUAUUAUAGCCCAGGGAAUGAUGAUUUCCAAGAUGCUUGCUGAAUUCAGAACUUUGGACAAUGAUGCGGUGCGAGUUGUCAAGGAAGCUUACCGUGAGGCUUGUAAGUUCGCAUCUCAAGCGGUUCAACCAACGCUCUCCGAGCCAGUGCUAUCCUUUCAGCCGGUGUUAUGGCCUUGGCCAAACAUCAUCCCCCUUGACAAGACUCUUUUCCGGAUCCACCAACAACAUAUGCUUGGAUCAAUUUCAGCCACACCCCUAGUAGCCGAAACCCAACCCAUAGUGAUCUCGGAUGAUGAAGAUGGAGAUUGGCUCAGUCUUCGUCCUCCCGGAGAGCCCCAACAAGGCAAGUCCUCUGCAUGACCUCAGUCAAGUAGAGAGAGGCGCAGUCUGCCUGUUCAUCCCCGGUAUGAGGAUAGAACUAUGUACCCCAGUACGAGUAGUUUUGUUUAGCGCGUAGAGCACUCAUGCUUGGUUGUAUGCUUGCACUGUUGUAACUCGUAUGAUGUAUUGCUUGCUUUCUUGCUUUUGAUUGUUGUGUUGGUUUGUCUCUCUGUCAAACAGAGAUGUUUGAUAGGGUUGGCAAUGUCAGUUAACAAGAUUUUAUUCAGCAGAGCACCUACACUAAAAACAACAUUGACUCGUCCCGAGUCUUUAAUAAAAUGCGCGCUGGUUUAGGUAUAUAUAUACCAGCAUUAUAUAUAUACCCACUAGCAUUAAAACACCUUAGAAUGAUUUGUCUGCUGUGUUUUUCAUUGCAUGAUUUUUAUCUCUGUCUGUUUGUUAGUUUAAAUUACGGCAUAAGACAUGCAUACCGGUUCACCAUCGAGUACCUUCGGGUAGUACUCGGGGGAAUGCAAAGUCUCUUAUCCCUCUGUAUCCGAGCAUACCCCGUGUGUUGGAGCUUCAAAUCUAGAACCCCGCAGAGGCAUUUCCGCCUAGAAAUUCCUCGUCUCAAAUUCUUUUUCCUGAUUUCAUUUCCAGAGAAACACUGCCAACUUUAUUUCCCUCGAUCCAGUACAUCUACCCCGAUACAGAUUUCAACUCCGAUUCUACCUCGACACCUACUUUUCGUGGAGCAAUCCAUGAAAUUUUUGUCCUACCCCUGUAUGCUUCCGAAGCAGGCGCAUCCACCUCUCCUGCAUCUGGACCCCACCCCCACCAUCUUCUGUGCCUUGCGUGGUGUAGGCAAGUCACCACCCCGCUCCACCGCCACCCGCGAUUACUCCGCUGGCGUAAAGCAACGGAGGAACAAGCGUGGCGGAGGACCACACAGUGCACCAUCUUCUCCCGCAUCUCGAGCAACCGCACCCAGCCGCGCCUUCUCCCGAGCCCGAUCAUUCCUGAUGAGUAUCAGCAGGAGGAUCGACGAGCCAAUGAGCGUUCCCAGCAGUGCCACAAGGAACAACCGCAGCGCCGCCAAGAACACUUCUUCGCCGAAGGAGCUCGGCUCGAUCUCGUGCAAACCAAAGAAGUAGUAGAGCAGCAUUGUGUUGGAGUGUGGGGGGAGAGCCGCGCUACCGUCUUUUAUAGCCCAACCCCGGUGUACGGUAAGCGAGGUCCAGGAGGACCGCUCGUUGCUCAAUCACCGGCGUCCAGGAGGUGAGUCCGCGAGCAGUGCCGACAAGGUGCUGUCCCGCGACGUGAGUGCUCGCUGCACCGGCACCGUGCACGCCGUGCACUAAGGCACUAGGGUCCUCAUCACCCUAGGCGCUAGAUGCGCGCUGCGCUACACCGCACGCGGAGCGGUAACAAAGAAGAAGUAGCAAGCCGGAGGUAGAAGGAGGCUGCGAGUGGACCCUGGACCCACGUGUCAGCAGGUGAAACCACUAUUCAUUGGGUGCACCUAGUAUUUUUCAGGAGUCUGAUCUCGAGUGCCCCUAGCCGUGGAGGUAACCUAGUUUUUCCCAUAUAUCCUUUCCCGGGUGUACCAAUUACCAGUGCCCCAACUUGUUUGAAUUUGACCAAAGGGUUAAAAAUUAACUCAGAGGUUUUUCCCCGGAAUGGUUAUUCUUUCAUUUGUGCUGUAACCCUAGAAAUCUUGAGGACAAGAUUCUUUUUAAGGGGGGAGAGUUGUAACAGCCCCAAAAUUGGGUUAUCAAUUUUUGUGUUGUUAUUCGUUCCUGGCACUCACCUUCAAAAUUUUCUCCUGAGUUUGCUGGAUGACUAUGAGAAAUUUUGUCAUUUCCAUCCUUUCAAAACUUUGUUCAUGUCUUUUUCAGUGGGCGAGCCCUCAUUUGCAUCAGCUCAAAUCCUUUCAAACCCUAAUUCCAAACUUUUGGAAUUUAGAUAUGCACAUUGUGCUUAGAAAGGAGCCAUCAUUUUCCUUGAUCUGUUCAACCUCCCAAUUUUUCCCAGAGAUCACCCUAUCUUUCUGAACCUUGGAUAUGCAAAAAUAUCGCUAAGUCCAAUGCUAUAUUUUUGAAUUAUGAUUUAUUCCUUUUCUUGCCUUUUUGAGGAAUAAAAUCCGAAGGAAUAGAUAGCCAUCUGCUAAAUUCAUGAGAAUUGGUGGAGUUGAUGCUUAUGCCUAAUCCAAGCUAUGGCAAGUAUAUUGGCCAAAAUUAAAUAAGGAAAAUUGCCUUUUCCUAUUUAAUGUCAAUAUUGCAUUUCUGCCAUUUUCCAAAGGAACUACUAUUUUUAUAGCAGAGAAAAAUCCCACAUAAAUUGUGGAGCUUGUCCUUGCUAUAUAAUCACUAGUUCCACCCUAAAGUCAUGUUCCUCAGUUCAAAAAUUGGGCACAUGAUCCAAAGCAAGUUUCUGCCUUCUCUAAAAUUUUGCGAAGGAAGUGCUUUAUUCCUAAUUCCAAUUAAGCUACAAUUUGGCAGGGUGUUUAACAUUGGUAAAUAACCCAUGUAUGCCAAAUAUGACCUCAAUCCAUUCAUCCUAGCUCCUUGUGCAAUUUUUCAAAGUUUCUGACCAGAAUAUAAAUUUGUGAAGGAAGUACUUUCAUAGUGCUUACAAAUGGGUUGAAACUUUUCCAUCCUCUCUAGUAUCUCAAAUCAUUAGCCUCCACUGAAAUUAAGUUCAUUUCAUUGACUAUGAGCACAUGAGCAAUUCUUGUUUUUUGUCCAAAUCUUCAGUUUGUGAAGCAAGUGUAUUAUAUCUUGCUCCAUUAUGGCUGAUAAUGUUCCCAAGCCUCCUCCUAUCUAUAUGAUCCAUGUCCACAAGAUUGUGGUUCAUUUCAUCCAGCCAAUUUCCCUGAGGAUUGUCUCCGAAGUUCUUGGACAGAAAUGAUAGCUAUGAAGGAAGUACCAUUUAGGUGAGUCCAUUUUGUAUGAACUUUUUACAGCAGCAUGGUAUGAUCAAAUCAUCAGGCUUUGCCAAGUUAUAGCCCAAUCCAUUACUCCUAUGGGGUGCUUAAUCAUGAUUCAGUUUCUGGGUCUACUUUGGUGGUUGUACAGCAACUACGGUAAAUAGUUGUCCAUUUUACCUCAAAACUCCCAAGACCAUAGUCCUUUCUACCCUAAGCCUCCCAUACAUCAAGUUUACCUUUUACCCUCUCUUGUUUAAUCUCUAGAGUGUGGCCAAGUUUUCAACAGAAAACUUGUGGAGCUUGAUUUACUCAGCUCCAUUUGUCUCUGCCCGAUCCUUUACCGUAGUAAUAGUCCACGCUAGAAGCGUAGACAUGAAAUUACAUCAGUAAAAACUCCAGAGCGUGACCACGAGUGUAACCAGCCAAAACGGUGGUCUAGCCACUGUUGUCGUCGGCAUCGCUGCUCUGGCCGUCUCUGACCUCUCCAUUAAUGCCCAACGGCCCCCUCGACGUCAUCUUCCCUCUGGACCUCUGGCCCCCUUCGUUUUCUUCUCCGGCGAGCAAUGCCAACGAACAGAAUAGUGCGCUCCUGUGCAUCGUCGUCUUCCUUGCCGGUGUCCGCUUCCUCCUCUUGUCCUAGAGCCUUGCUCGUCUCCGUGACUCCCUGGCGCUCAUCCGCACCCUCCUCGUCGAUUUCCCAUGCGUCCCCGUGACUGCCGCGGCCAGCAGAGCCAUGGCCGGACUCGGUCGGCGGUGCCCGGCUCGGGUGCCUUCGCCCGGCUAAAAAUAGCCUGCCCUCGAGCCUAUGGAGACCAUCAGCAGCCUCUCCCCACCUCUGUACGCCUCCCCAACCCCUCCUCAUUUCGCUCCGGAGCCCCUCGUCGACCACCACCAUCACCGUGGUCGCCGCCUCGGGUCUCGAGCGAUUCCAGAGAUCCCGAUCUUUCCUCUCCGUUCCCUCACCACCAAUACAUCUCCCAUGCUCCAGCGAGCGUCCCCAUGGUCUCGACCCCUCUUUUUCCCCACCGUAGCCCCGUGUCCGCCGAUGACCGAAGCUCCUCUCUUCCGCGGGCGUUGCUGAUCUCUCUGCAGCGCCUCACGCCGGCAACAAAGACCUCCAUCCGAUGCGCCUCUCCGCCCCGAGCGUCUGGGUAGGUUGCGCGCGCUGUGUGGUGGCCGGACGCGCCGGAGACCGUCGUCGAGGCGAUCCCCUCCCUCGGCCUCGCUCGAUCCUUAGCGGGAGGUUGAAGACGCCAGGCCAGGCAGGCCCCUCCUCGCGCGGUGCCACCUGUCGGCGAGAGAAGGGCGUGGCCCAGUCUGCCACGUUGGAUAAGUGGCGGCGCCCCGCCACGAAGCCGCUUUCCCCAGGCGAAAGCGCCUUUCGGGAAAGUACGCUUUCAAUCUCAGAAAGCAUAUUCUUCCUCUGCUUUGGCUAGGAAUACGUUUCCCUUUCUGGAAAACGUAUUUUCAAAAAAGACACGUUCUGUUUAAACUACCAGGGACCUGUUUGUAGAAGUAUUUUUAUAGACUAGUCCCUGAGCUUUAAACGUUCGUAUCUUCUUACUCGUAACUCCGAAUAAGGUGAUUCCAGCGCUCACGUUCUCUUUUCGUCGAGCUCUUUCCGUUGGUAUCAUUUUCAUUAUGUUUUCACGCACUGAAAAUGACCAUUUUUCCCUUGCAGGUAAACAGCCCCCUCCGAGAGAGAACUGUUUCCGGCAAAUCUUUCCGCGAUCGCUCGACACUUCUUCCCAGAGGAUUCAUCGACCCCCAGGCAAGCCAACCUCUUAUCAUGAGCCCCGAACAUGCAUGUUGACUGUGCUUGCACCUUGUGUGUGUGUAGUUGCAUUUGUUUUAUAUCGUUUUCAUCUGCAUUUAUUUCUUUAUGCCUGUGAUGCAUGCUUGUGUUUUCAUGAUAUCUUUUGCCCUGCUAAUUAGAAUGUUAUUAUUAAUAAUGUCAUGUCACUACUCUAGUUUAUUCGAAUGUCAUUGUUAUAAAAUGUUAUGAGGAUUUUAAAUGCACCGUUGAUAUGCUAUUGUCAUGUUCUUUAUGCUAUAGUUGUGCACUUGAGAAGUUCGAUAUUUUGCCAUGCAUUUGUAUGCUGCAUGUUCACUGUUGCACUCAUGUUAAAUAUGCUCAUGAUGAUGGAGAAGGAAUUAAAAUGACUUAAUAAUAACAAACCUGCUCCAUCAUCGAUGGGAUCGAGUCAUAGUACCCCCAAAUCGAACUUUUUCAGUGCAACCACAUUUUCAUUCUUGGGAAGGCCUUAAUGUGAUCUAUUGUCGUGCAUCUUGCUGGUGCCUCCAACUAGGGAAGGUUAUGGGCGUGCUUACCCUGACCAGGUAGGCAGACAUAACCUUGUGUGCUUGUUGUUAGGAUUUUGGUACCGGUCCCCGUGAGGGACGCUUUGUCCAUGACGGUGGUCGGGGUGUCUUUGGUAGACACGGGGCCACCCAGGACCAGCCCAGUUGGGAGUGGGUCGGAGUGGCCGGGAGAGUGUCAUGGCAGUAGGUCGGUUUCGUCGGAAUGUCGUUGGCCCACCCAAAUGGGAUGACGAGGCCAUGGGUUCCGUGGCGUGGGCACAGUGUGCUACCUCUGGAGAGUGUAUAUAAAGUCUAUUGAUAGCAACAAUUCAUAGUAGGUCCCACUACCAGGUCUUGGUCGAAAUGGAGGAUAAACCGAAAUAAUUAAGUUGGUAAAUAAAUAUGUGAUAACAAAAAUAUUGUGAUGGGAUAGUCGUGAGACGUCACAACGAUGUUUUGGAUAUGAUCAUGAGACGAGGUCUCGAGUGUUGGAAACCAAGUGUUGGUCAUGGUUGUGAUCGCCGGGAAGAUCACCGUUUGGUUGCGAGGCAACCCGUUGGUAAGAGAGUCCGAGGGACUCGGUGCACAAGUUUGGUUGCAUUGCAUGAGUAAUAUGUUGCAUUUAAAAACCAAGGCAGAACAAAAGAUGAUUGCAUAAAGUUAACAUGCUAUGUCUGCAAUGAUUUGAUAUGCCAUUUUAUUGCCAUGUUAGUAGAUGCUAUGAUUUUUUUGUUCCUGCGUAGUCGAUUUCUAUCAUACCAUGUUUAGUAAUUGAUAUGAGAUAGGUUGUUGCAUACGCUUGGUUCUUGAUUUGUCUUCUGCUUGUUUGGAUUCUAUGUAUUUGGUUGUCUUGCAAGUACAUUCAAUGUACUGACCUGGCGUGUCAUGCCAGUUUUGUAGGUCGUACCCGAGUUGUCUGCUUGAUCCGUCGUGCUAGGCC
rnacentral:lncRNA from 1 species